CCUACGGGAGGCAGCAGUGGGGAAUAUUGGGCAAUGGAGGAAACUCUGACCCAGCGACGCCGCGUGCGGGAUGAAGGCCUUCGGGUUGUAAACCGCUUUCAGCAGGGAAGAAGCGAAAGUGACGGUACCUGCAGAAGAAGCACCGGCUAACUAUGUGCCAGCAGCCGCGGUAAUACAUAGGGUGCAAGCGUUGUCCGGAAUUAUUGGGCGUAAAGAGCUCGUAGGUGGUUCGUCACGUCGGAUGUGAAAAUCUGGGGCUUAACCCCAGACCUGCAUUCGAUACGGGCGAGCUUGAGUAUGGUAGGGGAGUCUGGAAUUCCUGGUGUAGCGGUGGAAUGCGCAGAUAUCAGGAGGAACACCAAUGGCGAAGGCAGGACUCUGGGCCAUUACUGACACUGAGGAGCGAAAGCGUGGGGAGCGAACAGGAUUAGAUACCCUGGUAGUCCACGCCGUAAACGGUGGGCACUAGUUGUGGGGACCUUCCACGGUCUCUGCGACGCNGCUACGCAUAGUGCCCGCCGUCGGGAGGUACGAGCGCGAGAAGUUAAACUUAAAUUAGUUAAGUUAGUUACGGCGUGAGACGUUGCCGACGGACGACCGACGAGGGGAGGUUAGG
rnacentral:rRNA from 1 species